UCCCUACUGCCUCUAAUCUGGAGGACUCACUAAACAGAGAACAUCCCUGGUCAUCCCUACUGCCUCUGACCUGGAGGACUCACUAAACAGAGAACAUCCCUGGUCAUCCCUACUGCCUCUGAUCUGGAGGACUCACUAAACAGAGAACAUCCCUGGUCAUCCCUACUGCCUCUGAUCUGGAGGACUCACUAAACACACACACAGUGCGUUUGUAAAUCUCUUCUGAGUGUUGGAGCCCCUGGCUAUCCGUAAAUUUAAAAAAAAACUUAAGAGAAAAUCAUACCGUCAGGAGUUUGAUUUAUAUUCUUUGCUUUAUCCCACCAGUUUCAUACUUUUUCCCACCAUUGUACUUAAAGUACAUUUUAAAAACAGAUACUUUGACUCAAGUACUAUUUUACUGGGUGAUUUUCACUUAUACUCAAGUCAUUUUCGAUUAAGGUGUCUUUCGUUUGACUCAAAUAGGACAUUUAAGUAGUUGUUUCUGCUAUAAACACACUUAUGUUUUCUGAUUUAAAAACAACAAUAAACAAAGAAAAUUCAUAUUAAUGUUAUAAUUGUUUUUGUAUAAUUGAUUACAUUGACAUUUUAUCCAUAAAGAUAUGCAAACAAUUUAACUAUUUAAAGGAGAUACUAUUUAAACUGUACAGAUUCAACAUUAUUAUUAUUAUUAUUAUUGUUAUUAUUAUUAUUAUUAUUAUGAUUAUUUGUGAAGACCCCUCUGUUUUGUGUCAGAACAAUCCUCAUGCUGUAGGUCUGUGCUGUGUCGUGAGUCACUGUUUCCAUCUGUAGGUUUUACCCCAUUGACAUCCAAUCAUUUGUUUAUGUGGUGUGUAUAGGUUCAUUGUAUAUAUACAUGCUGAAGGCUCUACGGUCAUCCCAGGCCCUAACCAAGGUAGAGAGGGGGUCUGAACCCAUGCUGAAGGUUUUACGGUCAUCACCAGGCCCUAACCAAGGUAGAGAGGGGGUCUGAACUCAUGCUGAAGGCUGUACAGUCAUCACCAGGCCCUAACCAAGGUAGAGAGGGGUCUGAACCCAUGCUGAAGGCUGUACGGUCAUCACCAGGUCCUAACCAAGGUAGAGAGGGGGUCUGAACCCAUGCUGAAGGCUCUACGGUCAUCACCAGGCCCUAACCAAGGUAGAGAGGGGUCUGAACUCAUGCUGAAGGCUGUGCGGUCAUCACCAGGCCCUAACCAAGGUAGAGAGGGGGUCUGAACCCAUGCUGAAGGCUCUACGGUCAUCACCAGGCCCUAACCAAGGUAGAGAGGGGUCUGAACUCAUGCUGAAGGCUGUGCGGUCAUCACCAGGCCCUAACCAAGGUAGAGAGGGGGUCUGAACCCAUGUUGAAGGCUCUACGGUCAUCACCAGGCCCUAACCAAGGUAGAGAGGGGGUCUGAACCCAUGCUGAAGGCUGUACGGUCAUCACCAGGCCCUAACCAAGGUAGAGAGGGGGUCUGAACCCAUGCUGAAGGCUCUACGGUCAUCACCAGGCCCUAACCAAGGUAGAGAGGGGGUCUGAACCCAUGCUGAAGGCUGUGCGGUCAUCACCAGGCCCUAACCAAGGUAGAGAGGGGGUCUGAACCCAUGUUGAAGGCUCUACGGUCAUCACCAGGCCCUAACCAAGGUAGAGAGGGGGUCUGAACCCAUGCUGAAGGCUGUACGGUCACCACAACACCAAUACUAGUGUUUUAAUCCACAAUGGGGAGUUGUCACACAUUGUUUAAAUACAUUUUUUUUACAUUAACACCAUAUCAAGGAACUAACAGAUGGCUCGAUCAGGUUGAUUGAUAUACCAGUAGCCUCAUCGUGCCCCCCUCCCUUUGUUUAUUAAAGCUUUGCCAUUUAAACAAUUAUUGAUAUAAACGAGAACAUGAGGUGAAAGGAACGGCUUGAGGGGACAGGAAGAAGUGUUUGUCGUGUUUGUUGCGUCCACUCUUACAUUGUAUUUGUGUUGUCAACAACACUCACUUUCUUCUUUUUCGUUUUGUUGUUGCCAAGUGCCUUUGGCUACAAUCCAUGCCUGUAGCACAGUGUUGCCUGUAGCACAGUGUUGCCUGUAGCAGUGUUGCCUGUAUUGUGUCACUGUUGUCUGUUUCAACUUUCCAUCAAAGUAACAAUAACGCUCAUUAGUGUGGUGCAUGUGUGCCAAAUGGCACCCUAUUCCCUAUGUUGUGCACUACUUUUGGACUAGAUCUCUAAGGGUCCUGGUCAGAAGUAGUGGACGAUAGAGGGCAUAGGAUGCCAUUUGAGAUGUAGAACCUCUUGUGUCAUCACCGGUAGUGUCGUACAUGUCCACGCCUGUUAUUUAACCACUCUGAAAUAUCAUGAGUGAUACAGACAGAGGAGGCUGGUGAUGGGAGGACGGCUCGUAGUGAAACGGAAACUGCGUGUUGGAUGUGUUUGAAUCCCGAUCCAUUUCAUCCCGGUUCCAGACGUUACUAUGGGCCCAUCCUCUGAUUUAUAGUGACACCAGCCACCCCUGGAUACGUGAUCAACACAGAACCUUUGAAUAGCCAAUGAUAAGAUGAUAUAGUCAUUGAUAUAAUGUAAUCCAAUGAACAUGAUGCGGUCCUCUGCUGCUAGUUAAUUACACCCUCAUUUUUUGGCUGUACACGUUGUACGCCACAUCUUAUUGGCUGUACACGCUGUACGCCACAUCUUAUUGGCUGUACACAUUGGACCUUUGGCAGGAACAUGUUGUCAUGUUAAUUUGACUUCCUUCAAUAAAAGCUUUGCCACAGC
ensembl:lncRNA